GUGCUUCCUUCGGUAGUACAUAUACUAAAAGUGGAACGAUCAGAGAAGUGUUAGCGUGGCCCCUGCGCAAGGGUGACAUGCUUGUGCAAACUCGUGAUGUUC